rnacentral:rRNA from 1 species
UGUGGUUUAAUUCGACGCAACGCGCAGAACCUUACCUGGGCUUGACAUCCCGAUCGCACCUUUUGGAACUUAAGGGUCAGUUCGGCUGGAUCGGUGACAGGGUGCUGCAUGGCUGUCGUCAGCUCGUGCCGUGGGGUGUCGGGUUAAGUCCCCAUAACGAGCGCAACCCUUACCGUUAGUUACCAUCAGGUUAAGCUGGGGACUCUAGCGGGACUGCCACCGUAAGGUGAGAGGAAGGUGGGGAUGACGUCAAAUCAGCACGGCCCUUAUGUCCAGGGCUACACACGUGUUACAAUGGCCAGUACAAAGGGCAGCUACCGGGUGACCGGAUGCUAAUCUCUAAAGCUGGUCUCAGUUCGGAUCGAAGUCUGCAACCCGACUUCGUGAAGCUGGAUUCGCUAGUAAUCGCGCAUCAGCCAUGGCGCGGUGAAUACGUUCCCGGGCCUU